AUACGGAGGAUGCAAGCGUUAUCCGGAUUUAUUGGGUUUAAAGGGUGCGUAGGCGGAUGAUUAAGCGUGAGGUGAAAUGCCACUGCUCAACAGUGGAACUGCCUCGCGAACUGGUUGUCUUGAAUGCUCCUGCCGUGGGAGGAAUGUGUGGUGUAGCGGUGAAAUGCAUAGAGAUCACACAGAACACCGAUUGCGAAGGCAUCUCACGAAGGGGUGAUUGACGCUGAGGCACGAAAGCGUGGGGAUCAAACAGGAUUAGAUACCCUGGUAGUCCACGCAGUAAACGAUGAUAACUAACCGCUGGGUCGUAGUGAUUCAGUGGCCAAGCGAAAGCGAUAAGUUAUCCACCUGGGGAGUACGCCCGCAAGGUUGAAACUCAAAUGAAUUGGCGGGG
rnacentral:rRNA from 1 species